CGGGUCUGCGGGGACACGGGCGGGUGAGCGCCUGCGGCCGCGGAGGCGGGGAGCGCACCCCGAGCCACCCCGAGGCACCCCGAGGCCGCACUGCCACCGCAGCGCCUGCCUCGCCUGCAAGAUCAGUGCCACGCUCCCGCAGGGACGCGUGUGAGGGGCAGCGUCGGGGGCCCAGGUCUAACAAGGAGGUUCAGACUACAGUCAAGAUCAAAGUGCCAAACCAUCAGAAUACAAAACAGCUGCAAGAAUAAUUAAUCUUACUGUUUACUUGGAUGCGAUAAAUACUUUAUUAGAAAAGGACCCAGAGAUAAGAAGCAAUUAAAGUGAUUGUCAAGUAUUAUGUUCUGAUACGAAGCCCAGGCAUCUGCGUCCAGCUAGAGAUAAUUUUAGCCAGGCCCUUUCGGUUUCUGGCUACACAAUCACUGAGAAGCUGAGGGACUGUUAGGAUUUUGUCGAAUAGGAGAAAAACGUAGAGCCACGCCACGAGUCUUGGACAUUCCCCACAUCAAGCAUCACCAUCUCCGCAUCUUCCUAACUCCCUGUCCUGGCUGUGUCGCCAUCCGUCAGUUCCAGUCUCCCCCAGCAGCCUGACUGAUGCCUUCCUAAGCUGGCAGACAGGAGGUCCCAGGGAAUCGUCCCCCCUGACCACAGGGCCACUGCUGCAUCAGCUUGACAUACUUGGGCAAGUUAACUGGCCCCUCAGAGCAGGGUGAACCUGAACACUUUUGCGUCUCGUGAGACAGGAGGAACCCCUUUUGCACCACCGCGACAGAGGCGAAGGGCCCCUCAGCGUCCUCCUGAAAGCAGUCACUGCUGCCUCCAAGUGUGGGCGCCAAGGGUAUCGCGGCAGAGCUUUGCCAGCGCUGCGGGACCUCAGGCUCCAUCUGACCUACGGAGCCAGCUAAGCAUUCUGUGCCAUAUUAGCGGGCUUUAUGUCCCUACUGUCUGAGAAGAGCUGGGCUGAGGUGCACCAAAAUAGAACAGUAAUAACACAGCGCACUUAUUAAUUUUAUUCCGCAUCUGACACUGUGCCGAGGAUUCGGAAGACCUCAUUUCCAGUGCAGUGGAAACAGGACGAGGGCAAACUUUGAGCUCUCCCUGCAGUAACCGCAGGGCUGAGGACGGCGCCCAGCUGGGCUCAGCAAGACCUUGGUUCAUUCUACCAACCGCCCUGUGGAGCUGCUCUGGAAUCUCUGGGUGAGAAUUUAAAUAAUGUGACAAAGGUUUUCUUUGAUAAAUAAAAAGCAGUCAAGAAAGGGUCUCAAACCCGGGUCCAAGCAUUGCAAAAACCCAA